UACGUAGGGGGCAAGCGUUGUCCGGAUUUAUUGGGCGUAAAGAGCUCGUAGGCGGCUUGGCAAGUCGGGUGUGAAAACUCCAGGCUCAACCUGGAGAUGCCACUCGAGACUGCUAUGGCUAGAGUCCGGUAGGGGACCACGGAAUUCCUGGUGUAGCGGUGAAAUGCGCAGAUAUCAGGAGGAACACCGGUGGCGAAGGCGGUGGUCUGGGCCGGCACUGACGCUGAGGAGCGAAAGCGUGGGGAGCGAACAGG
rnacentral:rRNA from 1 species